CUCGUCUCUUGGAGAUGGCGGCGGAGUGUCCACGAAUGAUCAGGAUGCGACCAGAGGUGCUUCUGGAUCCGGAUGGGAACUCGCACGAGUUAGUGGACCAGGACCUACUCCAGCUCACGGCUUGGUUGAUUUCGGGGGACCCUGGUGUGUCUCGGACGUUCCGCAGGCUACUACAAGACUCCUGGAAAAUGCCUGGGCACCAGGUACCAGAACAGCUUACAAGUCUGCAUGGCGUGUGUGGUCUGGCUGGUGCGUGGGGAGACUGCUGGAUCCCCUUUCUGCCCCUCUGAAGGAGGUGCUCAGCUUUCUGACUGCACGUUUUGAAUCUGGUCUGGCCUAUCGCACUAUCAAUGUUUAUAGGUCGGCCAUCUCAGCCGGACAUCUGGGUAUCGACGGUUCACCGAUUGGACAACAUCCUUUUGUGUGCCGUUUGUUGAAGGGUAUUCGUUACUCUAGGCCUCCAAAAUCAAGAUAUUCAUCGUUUUGGGAUGUUAACGUAGUACUGGACUUCUUGGAAUCAUGGCCCCUUAAUGAGG